GAUCAAGCAGUUAGCGCAAGGGUUUUCUACACCCUGGGUUACAGGUUCAAGUCCUGUCGUGUUCGCCA
rnacentral:tRNA from 1 species